UCCUGGAGUAUUUUGCUCUCCACGGGUGAUGCCUACACUCAGAAGAAGUGAGAACAGAAGGAGAGAGAGUAAAUCAUCGGAUGGACUUUGUAUCUCAAGCUAAUAAAAUGUUUCUGUGUACUGGAUUUAUGCCCAGGAGCCACAGGAAGAGAAUCCAGGAUUCCAGUCUUUCACGCCACGCAUAUAUUGAGACAUUUGUAUGUAUUUGUGUUUGGGUGGGGUAUGUUGACAAGAAUGCAUGUGCCCACAGAAGACAGAAGAUGAUGUUGAAUUCUCUGGAGCAGGAGUUACAGAUUGCUGUGAAUUACAUGAAUGUUUUCUCAAGCUGUGUUUCGGAGUUCCAUUGAGGUUGCAGGAUGAUAGAACCUUCAUCUGGUGAUGGAUGGAGAUAGAGACAGAGACCCACACUGGAGCACUGGACUGAGCUCCCAAGGUCCCAAUGAGGAGCGGAUGGAGGGAGAACAUGAGCAAGGAUGUCAGGACCACGAGGGGUGCACCCACCCACUGAGACAGUGGGUCUGAUCUAUUGGGAGCUCACCAAGGCCAGCUGGACUGUGAGUGAAAAAGCAUGGGAUAAAACCGGACUCUCUGAACAUGGCAAACAAUGAGGGCUAUUUGGACUGG